ACUUCCUCAUGACUUGUCAUGUUCACUAGGUCACUUGUGUUGCUUGCCACUCCCUCGAAGUUGCCUGUCGCAUCUCUGGCACAAGUCCGUGAUGGAUCGACCCUCUCUGUGCUUCCUAUCAUCCCGAUCAUGUUGCCACCCCAUUGCAUUUUUUGGCCUUCUUAUCGUCUCGCUCUUGCCUCUCCACCUCUGAAUCCAUGAUGAUGCCUUGGGUGAAGAAGCCCAAGGAUCCUUGGUGGAUGACCACAAAGUGACGAUGCAUAGUGGUUGUGGAGAGGGUGGAG
rnacentral:lncRNA from 1 species